rnacentral:rRNA from 1 species
GACGAACGCUGGCGGCGUGCUUAACACAUGCAAGUCGAACGGAAAGGCCCUGCUUUUGUGGGGUGCUCGAGUGGCGAACGGGUGAGUAACACGUGAGUAACCUGCCCUUGACUUUGGGAUAACUUCAGGAAACUGGGGCUAAUACCGGAUAGGAGCUCCUGCUGCAUGGUGGGGGUUGGAAAGUUUCGGCGGUUGGGGAUGGACUCGCGGCUUAUCAGCUUGUUGGUGGGGUAGUGGCUUACCAAGGCUUUGACGGGUAGCCGGCCUGAGAGGGUGACCGGCCACAUUGGGACUGAGAUACGGCCCAGACUCCUACGGGAGGCAGCAGUGGGGAAUAUUGCACAAUGGGCGGAAGCCUGAUGCAGCAACGCCGCGUGCGGGAUGACGGCCUUCGGGUUGUAAACCGCUUUCGCCUGCGACGAAGCGUGAGUGACGGUAAUGAGUAAAGAAGCACCGGCUAACUACGUG